GUGCAUUUCCCUAAAUUAUCUUCUGUGGUAGAAACUGAACUCUUCAAGGCACAUAUAUUUCACAUUCAAAAGCACAUUCCUAACAUUGUGUUACAUGUGUCAGAAUUCAUCGUGUGUCAGAUAAAGCCUGGAAAGCAGACGAGGACAUAUCUUAGAUGACACAUUCCUACUGUGACACCACACCUUUUUUCCUCUCAGAUAUCUAAACAAUCAGAGCAGUAACAUUUAGGUGAUGUUCACCAUGUACCCUCCAUCUGGGUUGAGGUGAACACGUAACAGGGCUCCUCCACUCUGAUGUUGUAAAGGACUUGCCCUGGGCAGCAUUGCAAAAGAGGCACAGUUUGACUUGGGUGUAUAUCCACUGUGUGUCUGUCUUGACCUGCAGUGCACCAACAUAUUCUUCAUGAGAAGGAAAUUAUUUAUAAGUAACCCAGUUACUUCCUGGAAUAUAAUUAAUACAGCCAGGCAGUCUCUUUCCUUUUCCUUCAUUUUUGUUUCUUCCACAAAAAUUUAUUAAUCAUAGGCUUCAUGCCAGACUCUGUGCUAUACAGAAGUGAUCCCUGUCCUUGUGGAGCUUAGAGUUUCAUGGGGAUCUAGGAAAAUAAGUGGCCAAUCAAUAUAUAAUGCCAUCAAGUAUCAUAAGAGAGCUAGAAGCAAAUGCUGUGGCAGCUAGGAAGAGCCAUGUGACCUAAUUUGUGGGAGCAGACAAAGCUUUCUGGAGGUAGCUAAAGCUGAGAGGAUGAGCAGAAGUUAACCAGCUAAAGGCAGAAGAAUAAGAAUGAAGAAGAAAAAGAAGAAAGUGUGUGAAGGAAAAAAGAGUGGUGAGGCCUAUCAGAUUAUUUUCCUGGAGCUAAUAAGACAAGGUUGGCCAUGUCUUUGGCAAUGUGGCAGUUAUUCAUUUUGGUGGGAGGCUGGGGGAUAAAGGAUAAAGAAUGCAAGGAGACAAUUUGGAUUUAUUGAGUAACACAGCCAUUUCAAAGAACGAGGCUUCUCUGGGGCUGGAAACUGGGUGAAGAAAUUAGAAUGCCAGUAAGAGUCACUUUACCUAACUGGCUACUUGUAGUGCUUCUCUCUUUGCUAUCUGUGUCCUCUUAAUUUGGUAAAAUUUUGGAAUUUUACCAAAUACUGUCAUGUAUAUUAUGUGAUUUGAUUAUUACAAAAG
rnacentral:lncRNA from 1 species